UGGAGACACUAUUUCUUCACUUUGCUUUUAAAAAAAAAGAUUAUAAAAGCAAGUUAGUUCUCACAGUUACUAUAGUUACCUUAAACAUGGCGGUUUUGUGAUGUUAUGCAUAGUACACACGUCUGUCAACGACCUAUAGCAUGUGUGAUAGUUAACCUUAUGUCAUGAUAUACACAGAAAAUCAUCAGGUUGGAGCAAGCAAGGCUGAUACAAGGUUUUUGCGGAUGAUGCAAACGUUACUGGAGUAUGAAGGGUCAACUGGAACACCCCCUGCAACAGACAUUUCCCCCUACCCAAUUAAGGGUAUAGAAGCUGGGUGACCCGCCUGCUGCCACUCCCUAAGGACACAGCGCGGAUCUAUAACCCACAUUAGCUCGUCUGUAGGAUGACAGCAGCUCGGUCUGUAAGUGUGUAGAAGAGGAGAAAUGUAGCACCUGCCAGCGCUGCAGGGGCAUUAAAUAAAGCCUGCAGGGUAAGUUAUGGCA
rnacentral:lncRNA from 1 species